GUUGGUUGAUUCACUCUAUUAUAUGGGACACUGCAGGUCAGGAACGUUACCAUGGCCUGGCUCCCAUGUAUUACUGCGGUGCAGCUGUAGUUGUUGGUCUAUGAUAUCACAAGCCUGGAGUAAUUUGUUUUUAGCGAGCUAAGAAGUGGGUUUUUGAAUUGCAAAGACAAGCAAAUCCAACUUUAAUAAUGUUCUUGGCUGGAAACAAGGCUGACUUGGAAGAGAAGAGAAAAGUAGGGACUGAG